UACGUAGGGUGCGAGCGUUGUCCGGAAUUAUUGGGCGUAAAGGGCUCGUAGGCGGUCUGUCGCGUCGGUAGUGAAAACUCAGGGCUUAACCCUGAGCCUGCUUCCGAUACGGGCAGACUAGAGGUAUGCAGGGGAGAACGGAAUUCCUGGUGUAGCGGUGAAAUGCGCAGAUAUCAGGAGGAACACCGGUGGCGAAGGCGGUUCUCUGGGCAUUGCCUGACGCUGAGGAGCGAAAGUGUGGGGAGCGAACAGG
rnacentral:rRNA from 1 species